CAGAACAGAAAACUAGGGUUAACCCAUACGCUUCCCACAACAAAACACCAAAUGGCCCACUUCCUCCGUAGCCCAAAACGGAGACGCCGUGGACUAAUCACACCGCCACGGAAAGUGUCAUGCCUCUCGUGCCAAGACGACAUGCCUGUGGUACCCCCACAGGUGGUUAUAGCUCAGGUAUACCCUACGGUAUAUUCUAACAAAAAUAUCAUGUCACAACACAUGCGACAUAAUACCAACAAAAGGGUUCUAUAUGUACAUGUUGAACCAAAUCAAAUUAUAGUCACAAGGUUUCAAAAAGAAGGUAGCAACAUGUACCGCUCUACAAUUAUCAAAAUAAAUAUUAGACAUGAUAACCUCAUUCAAAGAGUACAAGUAUGAGUCCAAUGUGUCAACUCCAAAAUGAAAUAAAUAUAUCAAUUUCACAAAAAACAAUUAUGUGAAAUAAUAACAGAAAUUCAAAACGAGGAACAAAAUGAACAAAUCAAAUUUAACAAAGGUAUUGCUGAAAGAGUACGAAAUCAGUACCUGAUACUUCCAAACAAUUUAUAGCACACUCCACAAAAUCUUACCCUCAAAUUCCAACGAUAUCAAAUACGAAACAUUAUUCAUCACCUAAACAUAUUCACCUCAAAUUAAAUAUAAUCCAAUUCAAUAAUUCCAAAAUAAUUCAUAAUCUAUUUAAUAUGCCUUUAAUCAUCGCCUUAUAUCAAUUAUUAAUACUCCAAAAUUUAUAUUCCAAAUAUAACUCUUUAAGUUCCUUCCGUCCGAACUAAUUACACAAAUUAAUAAUACUAAAUGUAAGUACAUUUAUAAAAAUAUGAACACUUCUAUUUGGUACGACUAUAAAAUAUAAUUACUUAUAAUAUUAAGAUUUAAUUCAUUCCAUAUAAUCUUACAUAUUUAUUUGUAUAACAUCUCUUGCAAAUUAUGCAAGUUUUCGUAAACUUUAAUUACUACUGCUAUAUAUAUAUUUUUAUUUAAAAAAAUCAUCAAUUUAUUAUUUUAGGAUCUCCAAAAUCAAUCACAGACUACUCCCUCCGUUCAAUCUGAUUGGAAUAAAGUGAUAAUAAUAAUAAGUACAUCCGUAUAAGUAUUACAUUAAUAAAUAAACUCUCCCAUCUUUAAAGAUCGCUCUUAGUUCUUGAAUUACAAAAGUACUUGCUCAUGAUUAAAAAAAACAACAUACUAAAUUUAAUAAUUUAAUAUGGAACCACGUGAUUUAUCCCCACUUUAUAUAAUGUAUAAUAUACUUACUUAUUACUGAUGAAAUUUCCCCACUAGUGAUCAAAAUCUCUAGUCUUUCUUCACCCGAGCCCCCUUUGUAGCUGUUCCCUUUAUCUCCAAAGUAGCCACCUCUUCUUAUUCAGUUUGUAUAAUGAAGUAAUAUUAGGUUUAGCUAUUUAUUAAUUAAGUUGCCCUAAUAAACUUCUAUUUGGGUUAAAUUAAUAUUAAGGCCCAAAUUUUAACCACAUAAUAUUAUCUAUCACUUAUUAAUAUUUAUUAGCCCACAUAAUUUAAAUGACUACUUUGACCCAAUUUAAAGACAAAAAAAAUUCAAACAAUAUAUUUAAAACACAAACAUAAAUACUUCUUUUUUUUUUCCGGGUAUUACAUUACCUCCCCCUUAAAAAGGAUUCCGUCCCCGGAAUCAAAAGAAUGGAAAGUACCUAAUUAUCAAAAAGAUGCGGAUACUCCGCUCGAAUAGACUCAUCAAUCUCCCAAGUAGCUCCGCGUUCCGGAUGAUUUUUUUUUUUCACAAAAUUUUAACAAAUGGGAUUGUCUUCCUCCUCAUAACCCGCUUUUGACAAUCUAAAAUUAUCUCAAGUUGCUUACUUCUUCAAAAUUGUAGAGGACGAAAAACUGAAGGAACCUGAUUUGGAUUCACUCAAUUCCGACAUCAGAUGAAUUAAUUAUAAUUUUUUCUAAUGGACUGCAGCACGUAUAAGUAUUCUACUCGAAAAUUCAACUAAUCAAAUUAGAAUAUGAUUAAAGUUACAACUUCACUCUUUAAAUAUAAAUAUAGCUCAAUAUAGGAGCUACCAAAACUCUAAUGGACUUCCCAUUUUUAAUUUAAUCGAUUAUUUAAUUAUCUACUAAAAUAAUUUAACUUUCCAAACAAAACAAAGAAAAAAAAUAGUCACUUACCUUUUCCAAUUUGAAUACAAUUGUAUAAAAUAAAGUUAAUUAAUACUUAAUUAUCUACUAAAAUAAUUUAACUUUCCAAACAAAACAAAGAAAAAAAAUAGUCACUUACCUUUUCCAAUUUGAAUACAAUUAUAUAAAAUAAAGUUAAUUAAUAUUUAAUUUUAAAAAAAAUAUGUGUUAUUACAUUUUUUACCCCUUAAAAAUAAUUCCGUCCACGGAAUUUAAAUAAGCUACAAAAAAAUUCUAGUUACGAUGUAGCGCCGCUAUUUGUAACGAUCAAUGCGGAUAAGCCUUCGAUCUACGUAAUUAUCAAUUUAUUUGUAAAAGAUUCGUCAGCUACUGUGCCAAGCCUUGGUAAGGUUCUUCGCGUUGCAUCAAAUUAGAUCACAUGAUCAAUCGUUAGUGCAGGCCGUCGCUAAUAUCUUUGAAUUUAAUUCUUGUAAACGUACCCUUCGGAACAUAAUUCGAAAUCAAAAAAACAAUUCUUCAUCUAAAUACGAUUCGAAUACCCAAAAUAUUUAAAAUUAUUUUUAAUUCGUAAAACGUUUAUGUUCCACCCAUGAUAAAGAUUUAACAAAUUAUUUUUAUUUAAUUUACAUAAAAUCAUACAAAACUCCAAGGAUAUCGGAUAAACCAAACAACUCUACAAACUAUAUCAACUUUUUGUAAAAUCCUCAAGAGCUUCAAAAUAUUCAAACCACAAUUCGAACUAGCUAGUUCUUAAAUAUUAUUACACCAAAGAAUAUACUACUAAGAUCUUUUUAUCAUCAUAUCAACUCUAAGUCAAAUAUUCUACUAUCUGCAUAAGCAAACUAGAAAUAUUCAAGAUCUCUCAAAAUUAAUUGAAUUUCAUCACUUACUAUCUAAUCAUAUAAUAAAUCAAUCAUCCCUUAUUGCAAACCUUAAUCCAAUAAAUUUCAAUGUCUCCCCAUACUAUCACAAAGAAAGUUCAUAGAACAUAACUCCAAUAUCCUACUAGAAAAUAGCCACAAAAUUGAUCAUUAACUCCAAAUGAUUAAUCUAAUUACCUCGAAUAUCAACAACUCAAAUUAUAAGAAAUCCUCUAUACUUAAUAAUUUUCACUUUAUCAUAGUAUCCCAUCAAUACACAAAUCUCAAAUUAUCCACAAGCUUAACAUAAAUCAAAACCUAACUAAAAUCAAAUCCUCAAUUCAACGAUCAUAAUGAUUGCCACAAAAAAAAAAAUCUAAAAGAAUAAUUUUCCAAAAUCAAAUACUCGUCGAUACAAAUACUCGCAUCAUAAUCACAUCUCAUAUAAAAUCACUUCUUAUCUGUACAAAGUAUAACUUUAUUCACCUCAAUGAUUAAAUCACAAUUAAAAUCAUUACUCAAUCACCUUAACAAAUUAUUCCACUUCCCUCAAAUCAACUACAAAUCGAAAAGAAAUCGACAGUUGGUUAAAAUAGAGACCAACCAAACAAAGAACAAAAUCGAAUCAAACUCCUACUUUUACCUAAUGGUUUACCAACAACUCACAGAAUAGGUUUUCUACAAGAAAGAACCUAAGCUCUGAUACCAUCUCUGUAACACCCCCUUCCCAAAAUAAUGCCACACAUGCAAUUAUUAAAAUAAUGUCACACAGGCAAGUCAAAUGAUGCCACACAGGCAACCAAAAUAAUGCCACACAGGCAAAUCACACAUUGGACCGCGAAUCCAAAUGUAUUCAAAUCGGAUAGGUGUGUUUGGCACAACAUCACAAAUCCGCAGAAUAGAAAACUAGGGUUAACCCAUACGCCUCCCAAAACAAAACACCAAAUGGCCCACUUCCUCCGGAGCCCAAAACGGAGACACCGUGGACUAAUCACACCGCCACGGAAAGUUUCAUGCCUCUCGUGCCAAGACGACAUGCCUGUGGUACCCCCACAGUUUGUUAUAGCUCAGGUAUACCCUACGGUAUAUUCUAACAAAAAUAUCAUGUCACAACACAUGCGACAUAUUACAAACAAAAGGGUUUUAUAUGUACAUGUUGAACCAAAUCAAAUUAUAGUCACAAGGCCGCUCUACAAUUAUCAAAAUAAAUAUUAGACAUGAUAACCUCAUUCAAAGAGUACAAGUACGAGUCCAAUGUGUCAACUCCAAAAUGAAAUAAAUAUAUCAAUUUCACAAAAAACAAUUAUGU
rnacentral:lncRNA from 1 species